CCGAGUUUACAACUCCCAAACCCCUGUGAACAUACCUAUAAUUUGCCUCGGCAGACUCAACGACGGUGCUCCGAGAAAUCGGGCGCCGCUCGCUGCCAGAGGAACCCCAAACUCUAUGUAUUCUUGUGGAUCUUCUGAGUAAAACAAAACAAAUAAAUCA
rnacentral:misc_RNA from 1 species